GUAUACAAUAAUGACAAGAUUAUGAGAUCAUCAACUGUGAUGGAUUUGGCCCUUUUCUUCCACAAUGGGGAAAUUCAAGGCAAUCCCAGCUGACUUGGGAUGGAGAAAGCCAUCCACUUCCAGAGAGAGAGCGAUGGAGUCUGACUGUGGAUCAAAACGGACUGGACUAUUAAUCUCUCUUGGUAUGAGGUUGGUCGUAUAUGUGGAGGAGAGUUGAUUUAGCAGAUUACAGAGUUUCAGAAUUGGACUCACAUUCCUAUUCCCUGGCAGCUAAACGAACCAUCUUUUAACCCCAUCUGUGAAAAACCACGUCAGGGAGAGACAAAUGUUACCCUCCCAGUGACGACUGCCAUAAUGGAAUCCCAUUAAAUUUAUCAACUUUGAGGAAGUGUUGGGUUUUGUUUUCCAGCUAAAGGGAGACUCCUCCUCCUCCUUUCUCCCCACCUCCUCCUCCCCCCAAGGACUGCUUUUUUUUUUUUUACCCAUAAAUGGAGAAAUGAACACAAGAUGAGAUGGGUGUUUGAUUGUGUAAUGAGUUCAAUUCCAUUUAACCAAAGUUGAUUAAGCCUUGAUAGACACAAGGCACGAUGCUAGGCACAGGGAUGCCAAGAUAGAUAAGAUAAAGCCCUUUCUCUUACAGAGUUUAUGAUCUAAUAGAGGAAACUAGAAGUACUUAAUCAGCUAUGACAUAAGAGAGAGUAAAGUCCAAAGGAGAGCGGAGCAAGCGGAAGUGGGAACGAGACACCCAAUUUUCAGAUAUGACCACAAUAUACUGAUGGGUUUUGUCUGACUUCUCUUAUUACAAAUACUGAAUAGAUGAUGGGAAGGCAGGGAGUGAGUUAAGUGGGAAGCCAUAGAGACACAAAAAAGUAAAAGCUCACCAAUGAAAAAAUAAAAAAAUCCCCAGAAGCAAAAGUUCAGAAAGGGACAAAGCAAUUUUGUUACUGUCCCGAACACUUUAACAUAUAUAUAUAUACUUUGUUGAAAAGAACCCACUCACAAGAGAAGUUCCUGAAUUCACCAACGAUCCUGUUUUUCAUUUUUGUGUAUCAGAAUGUUUGUGUUUGUGGAUGAUUGUGUUUAUAAUGAAAAAAAGGAGAUGGAAAACUAAGAAGUGAGAUAUAAAUAAAUCACACACACACACACACACACACACACUAAAAAUACUUGCAAUACAAAGGUACAAAUAAAGUUUGAGGUAUGUGAGAUGAUCCCUUCAGCUAGAAGUCAAGAAAGGCUUCACCUGGACAGGUCUUAAGCUCUUCUCCUGAGUCUUCCACUAAUUUAGCUGUGUGACCUUGGAGAAGUCAUGUGAAUUUCCUCAGUUGUUUCCUCAUUUGUAAAAUAAAGGUCUCAAUAAACUGGAUAGAAAAUGCAUUCAGAGUGAGAACUAUAGAGAAUGAAUGUAAAUCAACACAUGCUAUGCUCACUCUUCUCCCCU